GAUGAAGAAGGUAGCGAAAUGCGAUAAGUAAUGUGAAUUGCAGAAUUCAGUGAAUCAUCGAAUCUUUGAACGCACAUUGCGCCCGCCAGUAUUCUGGCGGGCAUGCCUGUUCGAGCGUCAUUUCAACCAUCAAGCCCUGCUUGCGUUGGGGUCCUGCGGCUGCCCGCAGGCCCUGAAAACCAGUGGCGGGCUCGCUAGUCACACCGAGCGCAGUAAUACAUCUCGCUUUGGGCGUGCGGCGGGUUCUUGCCGUUAAACACCCCCUUUUUACCAAGGUUGACCUCGGAUCAGGUAGGAAUACCCGCUGAACUUAAGCAUAUCAAUAAGCGGAGGA
rnacentral:misc_RNA from 1 species